rnacentral:rRNA from 1 species
GAGUGGCGGACGGGUGAGUAACACGUGAGAAUUCGCCUUUAGGCGGGGAAUAACCAUCGGAAACAAUGGCUAAUGCCCCAUAUGCUCGUAAGAGUGAAAGGAGUAAUCCACCCAAAGAGAAGCUCGCGGCUGAUUAGCUAGUUGGUAAGGUAAUGGCUUACCAAGGCGACGAUCAGUAGCUGGUUUGAGAGAACGAUCAGCCACACUGGAACUGAGACACGGUCCAGACUCCUACGGGAGGCAGCAGUGGGGAAUUUUCCGCAAUGGGCGAAAGCCUGACGGAGCAAUACCGCGUGAGGGAUGAAGGCCUUUGGGUUGUAAACCUCUUUUAUCAAGGAGGAAGUUCUGACGUGUACUUGAUGAAUAAGCAUCGGCUAACUCCGUGCCAGCAGCCGCGGUAAGACGGAGGAUGCAAGUGUUAUCCGGAAUCACUGGGCGUAAAGCGUCUGUAGGUGGUUUAAAAAGUCCACUGUUAAAGAUUGAAGCUUAACUUCAAAAAUGCCGUGGAAACUUUUAAACUUGAGUAUGAUAGGGGUAGAGGGAAUUUCCAGUGGAGCGGUGAAAUGCGUAGAUAUUGGAAAGACCACCAAUGGCGAAGGCACUCUACUGGGCCAUUACUGACACUGAGAGACGAAAG